UACGGAGGGGGCUAGCGUUAUCCGGAAUGAUUGGGCGUAAAGCGUCCGCAGGUGGCAGUUCAAGUCUGCUGUCAAAGACCGGGGCUUAACUUCGGAAAGGCAGUGGAAACUGAACAGCUAGAGUAUGGUAGGGGCAGAGGGAAUUCCUGGUGUAGCGGUGAAAUGCGUAGAGAUCAGGAAGAACAUCGGUGGCGAAGGCGCUCUGCUGGACCAUAACUGACACUCAGGGACGAAAGCUAGGGGAGCGAAUGGG
rnacentral:rRNA from 1 species